GGCGUGCCUCUUGGAGAAUGAGCCUGCGAGUUAAUUUCAGUGGCGAGGUUAAGGGAGUAACACCCGAAGCCGUAGCGAAAGCGAGUCUUAAUAGGGCGUACAGUCGCUGGAAUUAGGCCCGAAACCGAGUGAGCUACCCAUGGGCAGGGUGAAGCGAGUCUAAACACUCGUGGAGGCCCGAACUCACUAACGUUGCAAAGUUAGGAGAUGACCUGUGGGUAGAGGUGAUAUGCCAAUCGAACUCGGAGAUAGCUGGUUCUCCCCGAAAUAGCUUUAGGGCUAGCGUCAUGCGUUUAGAACUGGAGGUACAGCACUGAAUGGGCUAUGGGGCUUACAGCUUACAGAACCCAAUCAAACUCGGAAUGCCAGUUCUCCAUAGCAUGGCAGUCGGACUCCGGGAGAUGAGUUUCGGGGUCGAAAGGGAAACAGCCCAGACCAUCGGCUAAGGUCCUCAAAUCUAUGCUAAGUGGGAAACGAGGUGAGGUUACUGAAACAACCAGGAGGUUGGCUUAGAAGCAGCCACCCUUUAAAAAGUGCGUAACAGCUUACUGGUCUAGUGACUUCGCGCGGAAAACUUAACGGGGCUAAGCAUAGUACCGAAGCCAUGGGUCUCAACAUUUGUUGGGGCAGUAGGGGAGCGUUCUGUCAGCGGUGAAGGUCGAUCGUAAGGGCGACUGGAGCGGACAGAAGUGAGAAUGCAGGCAUGAGUAGCGUACAAAUAUGUGAGAACCAUAUUCGCCGUAUAUCUAAGGUUUCCGACGCCAGGUCAUUCCGCGUCGGGUUAGUCGAGUCCUUAGUCGAGGCCGAGAGGCGUAGGCGAUGGACAUCCGGUCAACAUUCCGGAACCGCUAGAAAGUGCGAUGGGAGGACGCAACGAGGUAGGCCAGCCCAUUAUUGGAUUUGGGUGCGAUCCAUCUAGGCGUUGAGACUGGUAGGUAAAUCCGCCGGUUGAGCUGAGGUGAGAGCGAGCCGUAAGGCAUAAGUGGUUGAGCCUUGUUGCCAAGAAAAGUCUCUAAGCAUAACUUUCUAGUGCUCGUACCGCAAACCGACACUGGUAGAUGGGUAGAGUAUACCAAGGCGAACGGGAGAACUCUCGUUAAGGAAUUAGGCAACAUGACCCCGUAACUUCGGGAGAAGGGGUACCCUCCUUUGUGUUAAAGCUUCGGAGGGUCGCAGUGAAAUGGCUCUGGUGACUGGUUAACAAAACCACAGGUCUCUGCUAAGCCGUAAGGCGAUGUAUAGGGGCUGACGCGUGCCCAGUGCCGGAAGGUUAAAGGGAGAGGUUAGCGCAAGCGAAGCUUUGAACUGAAGCCCCGGUGAACGGCGGCCGUAACUAUAACGGUCCUAAGGUAGCGAAAUUCCUUGUCGGGUAAGUUCCGACCCGCACGAACCGCGUAACAAUUAGAGCACUGUCUCGACGAGAGACCCGGUGAAAUUGAAAUGGCUGUGAAGAUGCGGCCUACCCGCAGCAGGACAAAAAGACCCCGUGGAGCUUUACUGCAACUUGGCAUUGUAUUUGGAUAUGAUCUGUGUAGGAUAGGUGGGAGGCUUUGAAGCUGGCGCGCUAGCGUCGGUGGAGCCAAUGGUGAAAUACCACCCUGAUCAUGUUUAGAUCCUAACCCCAUUCCGUCAUCCGGAUGGGGGACCGUGCCAGGUGGGCAGUUUGACUGGGGCGGUCGCCUCCUAAAAGGUAACGGAGGCGCCCAAAGGUUCCCUCAGGUGGAAUGGAAACCCACCAUAGAGUGUAAAGGCAUAAGGGAGCUUGACUGUAAGGCCAACGCGCCGAACAGAGACGAAAGUCGGGCUUAGUGAUCCCACAGUACCGAGUGGAAGGGCUGUGGCUUACCGGAUAAAAGCUACCCCGGGGAUAACAGGCUGGUGAGAUCCAAGAGUUCACAUCGACGAUCUCGCUCGGCACCUCGAUGUCGGCUCAUCGCAUCCUGGGGCUGGACAAGGUCCCAAGGGUCGGGCUGUUCGCCCGUUAAAGCGGUACGCGAGCUGGGUUCAGACCGUCGUGAGACAGGUCGGUCUCUAUCCGCUGUGGGCGUAAGGGAUUUGAAGGGAGCUGCUCCUAGUACGAGAGGACCGGAGUGGACAGACCUCUAGUGUGCCAGUUGUUCCGCCAGGAGCAUCGCUGGGUAGCCAUGUCUGGCAGAGAUAACCGCUGAAAGCAUCUAAGUGGGAAACUCGCCCUAAGAUUAGAUCCCUGUGACCCGUAAGGGUGUAAGACCCCAGAUAGACUAUCUGGUUAAUAGGCAGUAUGUGUAAGCGCAGUAAUGUGUUAAGCUAAGCUGUACUAAUGGUCGAGGGCUUCCUUC
rnacentral:rRNA from 1 species